UUAAAUUGAAGAGUUUGAUCAUGGCUCAGAUUGAACGCUGGCGGCAGGCCUAACACAUGCAAGUCGAGCGGCAGCGGAAAGUAGCUUGC
rnacentral:rRNA from 5 species